rnacentral:tRNA from 10 species
AUUCCACAGCCUGAGGUGCCACCAAAGCCAUAAGCCCAGGGGAGUCUCUCACACCCCAUUCUCCUAGGGCCCAUGUACCCCACGCCCACCUCCACCCCAGGAGCCGAAGGCCGGCAGGGAGCCUGGAGAGCCUCCUUGAUGGGAGAACUGCGGAGCUUGCCCCUCGGAAAAGUGCAUGGGGUGGAGAACAGGGAAGGAGAAAAAAACAACAACUGGGUACUCGCAGCCCCACCGCGGUGUCCGCUUCGCCGGUGGGAGAGGAUCCUCGCCGCCCUGAAUCCUUGAAGUGAGUUCCACCCCUGUCUCUUGGAGUGCUCAGGGUGGCGGGCCCUUUGCCAGCCCUCACCCUUUCCCCAGGGAUCCUGUCCCAGGUCACAGGCUCCUAGACUGGAAGGCGCUGGGCCUGGACCUCUGCCACUCAGUGGACACAGCUAUAAGAGAUGAAGGGACACAGAGGACAAAGAAGAAACAUUUGGCUUCAGGGAACCAGACUCUGUGUCUCCUCCCAGGUGCUGAAGGAACAGGUUGCAGCUACCUGGUGCCCCCACCCCGACCCUGCCAGAGAAAGGUUGGAACAUCCACACCUGUGGACCGAAGUCCCCCACCAGGCUCUUUCCUCCCACCCUUCAGCCCCAGGCUCUCUGAGCUCCUGCUCCUCCCUGCCUUGCCUUGUUUGCUGAGGGCACACACAGUGGAGAGAGCACAGGACUGGGAGUCCAGAGACCUGGGCUCUAGUCUACUCUGUGACUCGGGUCAAGUCUCUGGCCCUUUGUGGGCCCAAGUUGCCCCAUUUGCAGUGAAUAGGUUGCAGUCAAUUAUCUCCGGCCAUUUUUACGGAUCCUGAACCGUGGUCUUGGGCACCUUGCUUUAUUAGGCUUUUUGGUGGCUGUGCAUCUUGUAAGGGUGUGUAUGCAUGUGCGUGUGUGUGUGCGUGCGACAUGCGCUUGUCCUCUCAGACCCAAGUUCUUAAAGGGAAAGAGACUGGGGCCUACACAGAGGCAGGCAUGUAUAUUCCACAGACCAGAGUUUGACAAGAAUGACUGGACACAAGAGUGGAGCCCAGUCCCAGCUCUAUGCUGAAUUCAGAGUAGCCUUGGACAAGACCCUCACCAUCUACAAAAUGGAGAUUAAUAAUCCCUGCUUUGCCUUUCCAAGGCUAGUCGGGGGACUCAGUGAGAUAUUAGAUAUGAAGCUCUUUGAAGGGGAAUAGCACAGGGAUGUGUGCUUUUGAUGUCUGGGCCAGUGAUGGGUUUGGGGGAAGAAUAGGGUGUGAAGCAUUCUCUGGGAGGCAAAGGCUGGCACUGGACUGAUUGGCCACCCUGCCAAAGCUGCAGCAUGCACAGCACAGGCAGGCACCCCACCACCAGCAGCCAAGGUGAGCAGAGAUGCCUGGUGCCCCACCUGGAUUCCUGCCUGCUGUAGGUAUCUGUGUGUGCACCUUGAAGAAACUAAAGAGGGAAGAUAAAGAGGCUCCCAACCUAAAUGGAGGUGGUCAGUGGAUUACUGAUGAAUCGAUCUGCAUAUCUUGGCCAAAAUCACCCUCCUCUGCUCUUAGGGAGUUUAAAGUCUAACUGAAUGAUUGAACAUGAACCCUUUGGAGAAUGAUGUGGAGCCAGGAGAGGGGAUUGUGGAUGGUGAGCACACAGGAUGAUCAGAGGAGGGGGAAGGGCAGGGAGGGGCCGGGGAGGGGGGUACUUAGACCACAUGGAGAUGCAUUUAGAGUAUUGUGUUCAACACUCCUAUUUCAUAGUGAUGAAAUGGAGGCCCAGAGAGGGAAAGUGACCUGCCCAAGGUCACACAGUCACAAGAAGUCAGUAGCAGAGCUAGAACUUGGACCCAGGACUUCAGGAAUCUAUGCUGGAUUUGAGCCUCCUGUGCAGCCGAGGGAGACCUGAAGUGUGGGAAGGACUGGGAUACGUACCAGUGGGCAGGAAGAAAGAGUGAGGCAAAGUGCAGAGGUGGGAACUUUGUACAGCAAGGGAAAGGAGCUGGAAUCACAGGCAGGAUCUGGAAGGAGGGAGCUGCCCAGACCUGGAAAGCCAGGCUGAGCACUGCAGACCACAGAGGGUUUCGAGCUGACACCAGUUGGGAAGAUACAGGCGUGCGAGGGGCACACGCCCAAAUGACCCAGUGAGACAGCAGGUGACAUGACAGCAAGGCAGCAAGGAGACGGGGAAGAGCAGCUCCAGGAGUCAGGCAACCUCCAAUCAAAUGGCCUUGAGCAAGUUGUCUCUCUUCUCUGACCCUCAGUUUCUUUUUUGUGGAGUGAGAGAUAAUCAUCUUUUUUUCCUUUCAGGGUUAUUGUAGUGACCACAGAAUGCAUUUGGAAGUGCUCUGUAAACUGCAGAGUGCUAAGUAAAUUUAAUAUUUGGAGUUGUGUUUUAUUUUCCAAAGGGCUCAGUAAACAUUUGUGGAACUG